rnacentral:sRNA from 1 species
CGGGGAUCAGCGAAGGCUAAAACCAUCACAUCCUGUGAUAACGCCUUCGUGACCAACAUCGUGUUGG